GACGUAGGGCGCAAGCGUUGUCCGGAUUUAUUGGGCGUAAAGAGCUCGUAGGCGGCUUGUUGCGUCGUCCGUGAAAACCUGUGGCUCAACUACAGGCUUGCGGUCGAUACGGGCGGGCUGGAGUUCGGUAGGGGAGACUGGAAUUCCUGGUGUAGCGGUGAAAUGCGCAGAUAUCAGGAGGAACACCAGUGGCGAAGGCGGGUCUCUGGGCCGAUACUGACGCUGAGGAGCGAAAGCGUGGGGAGCGAACAGG
rnacentral:rRNA from 1 species